GCAGGCCUGGGUAGCUCAGCUGGUUAGAGCAUGGUGCUGAUAACGCCAAGGUUGCAAGUUCGAUCCCCGUUUUUUGUU